GUUCCCACAACUCUGAAGAAUCACCUCCAGGGAGGCCUCUCCAAUAAGCACCGCACUCUGGAAAGAGAAAGUGGCGAAGGCGCUUCCGCUUCCUGACUUGGAUGGGUUUUCUUUCCAACACCGGUGUUGCUCAGAGGGUUUUCCAGAUUGGAGUAUUCUGGAUUUGUUUUGAAGAGGGAGCUGGUGGAUUGCGAUGUUGAGUGUGAGGGGAGGAGGGGCUGAGAGAGAGCCCAAUGUGGAGCCCAACCCGGGAUCUAUCUCACAACCCCGGGAUCUUGACCUGAGCUGAAAUCAAGAGUCAGACACAUAACCGACUGAGCCUCCCAGGCACCCCAUGAAGCUUCACGUUUUGUGUUAGGGCCAAGAUCAGUGCAACCCCACAGUCAUCGUCCUGCUGCGGUCAAAGUGAGAUCCAACUCUGACAGUCUGCCUAACUCUGAACCUCAGCGCGCUGAUUCCUCUCAUGAGAGAUGGGGUGACUGUUUUAAAGUGAAGUGCAGGCAUUCUCAGAUGUGGGUGUGUUGGGUGGGGCACAGGAGAAAAGCCUCAUGGACCCGGGGCUGCAGAAAGCACUUCACAAUAGCCCAGGACCACUGCCCCCUGGGGGAGUCCCACACAAAGGAAAAGCUGCACAUAGCCACAUGGCAGACGACUCAAGAGUACCCCAGCCUUGCUCCCCAUUGAACCCACAUAAGAAACAACCGAUAAAGGUGACAAGUGUGGAGGAGAUUUAGGAACAACAAUACGCUUUUGUCCAAAUGUUUUGUAAACAACCCUGGAAAAACAAAGUGUGAACAAAGGCUCAACUUUCCUACUUGAAAGCACUCCAGAGUCUCCAUUCAGGUGAGACCCGAGAGAAGCAACGUCAGUCCUUCAGCAAAGAAUCCUCGCUAAGCACCAAAGGUAAAGUCCGGACAGGAAAGUACACACACAGCCUUGACCCAUUACACGAGAGUGCAACUGGCAGGGAAAUGCAGACGGUGAUCAGGAAACAUGUGUCUGUGGAGUGACUCGAAUGAAUGUUUAGAAAACCCUUUACAGACUUCAAACCUUCCGUGGUAUCCCAGCUGUCCAGCUUGAUCGAAAAGGCUGCUUAGCACUCCGGCUCUCAAGGUCUCCAGGGGAACUGACCACUCUUCUUGUGGUUCUAAAACCUGGUAAGCCCGAGCACUUUUAGUUUGAUUCCAAGCUCUCCUCCUGUCCUUCCCCUCCAGCUAAGACAGCGGACGUUCACAACAUCGGCUUGAGAUUCCAGAGGAGUCUGCUUAAUGGUGGGGAGAACUCUGGGUCUAGCAGUCCCCACACUGUGCCACAGUGCAGGGAAGGAGUUGAGGAUUUGGGGGUUACACUGGUCCCUGUUCUGUUCUUAGAACCAAGCGUGGAGCCACUGUAAAGCUGUUAUCUGAACCACCUGAAACGAAGCAACUCCUGGUUUGUCCUAGAAUCCUUUGGCUAUAAAAGGCAUUGCCAAGAACAUUAAUACUAACGUUUCAGGCUAAACUGAAGGUUGUGUGUUGCAGUUCAUCUUUAAACCAAGCCUCAACAGGGGUGCCUGGGUGGCUCCGUAGGUUAAGCGUCUAACUUCUGCUCGAGACGGUCCUGGCAUCCAUCCCCACAUCGGCUCCCCGCUCGGCAGGCAGUCUGCUUCUCCCUCUGUCCCUGCCCCCGCUCAUGCUUGUGCUCCCGCAAUCUCUCUCUGAAAUAAUAAAAUCUUUAACAGAAAAUAAACCGAGGUAAAUAGAUUUUGAUUCUAUGUUGUUUUGGUAAUCUCUCAUCCCUGUGACAAGCCUACAGAAACUCCUUCUUCCCGUGUCCACAUGUCCACCCCAAAUCCCAAGCAUGACUGGUGAACGUUGUACUACUGGUUCUUGGCUAUGGAGACAAAACCGACAGAGGCUUCUCACUCCUCAGCUGCAAUUUCUUGCUCCUGCUUUCCUGCAUGACCUUCCUCUAGUCCAAGAGGGCAGUUCCCUUCCUCUCUACAUCAAUCAGGACAAAUCUGCUUCUGCCCUAUGUCCUGUGUUUUCUGAGGCCAACUCACAGAAGGUGCAAGGAGGUAGUCACCACACGAUUGCUAAGUCUACUACACUCACAACAGGAACGAAAGGCAACCCCUUCCCUCUCUGGAGCCCACUAUCAACAGAAACACAUCUUUAUGCACAAAAGCAGCAGAGCACAAAGGAACAGAGAGCAAGGGAAGGGGAACAAAGCCAGAGAGCGGCGGAUGGUUGCUUUGUCCACCUGAAAAACUGACCAAGCGGGGCUUGUCUCAGGUAAAAAAUCAGUCCUUUCCUAUCACCUCAUCUUGUAGGCUCCUCAGUGUGCCUAUCAGUGUUACAUGAGCUCAGUGCAGCAUCUACAGGAAGGCAGACCCCUUCUGAGGGCCAAAGUCCACAUGGACCGACCCAGAAAAGUUUCCAGAGCUCUAGUAGAACAGCGUCUCGACGUACGGCCAGGUUAAGCUGCGGAAAUACACGACACCAACAUCUCCACAGUUUAACAGAAAUUUAUUUCUCAGUCCUGUAAAGUCUGUCACAGGUCUGGGGGACUCUCCAGGACAACUGCUCUCCACGUGGGGGGCUCAGCACUCCAGACUAUUCUGACCUUGCGACCCCUGUUUCUGUAGAAAGAACACUAUCGAGUUUUGCACCAACAAAGAAAGGCUUCAGCCCAGAAGUGGGGCUUCCCACAACCCAUCACCCACAACCAUCUCAUGACCCUAACAGCAAAAGGCAGCAAACUAUCGCCACUCUUCUCCACACUCUUCACGAGAAUACAAGUCCUGCGAGCGCAUGUCUUUGGCUCUUUUGUCCACUACUGCAUUCCCAGUCUAGACCAAACAGUGCCUGGGCACCUAAGAGGCCCCCCUGAGACGGAACAAAUGUAACACCAGGAAGAUGUCCGCACAUGGCCUGGGAUGAGACAGGGUAACCAAAGCCUGAGGACGAGGCCAUGGGUAACAGCUAUGCAGACGAGAGCUUCAGAGCUGCCUGUGCCUAGGAAGGAAGACUUGGCGUAGUUCAUCUUGGGCAAGAAAACAAAAUCCUGCCAAGAGCACCGGACCCACAGCUCAGGCAACUUACACUGUAACGUACUGAAGCCAAGGACCAAACCAAUGGAGCAUAAUCACCACCAGCCCUGCUCGACUCCUCAAAGGAGCUGAAAACAGCCAUAAACACAAGUGCUUCCCCCCUGCGGUCAGUCUGCCCAGCACAUCACUGGGGAGCAGGGGAAAGGGAACCCAAUGCGUGUUUCGGGAACCAAUCAAGCCAUA